rnacentral:tRNA from 1 species
CGGGUUGUAGCGCAGUUUGGUAGCGCGCCACAUUCGGGAUGUGGAGGCCGUGGGUUCAAGUCCCGCCAACCCGA